UUCGGAAUUACUGGGCUUAAAGAGUUCGUAGGCGGCGCAGAAAGUAGGGUGUGAAAGCCCUCGGCUCAACCGAGGAAUUGCGCUCUAAACUACUGUGCUCGAGGAAUCUAGAGGUGAGCGGAACUGAUGGUGGAGCGGUGAAAUGCGUUGAUAUCAUCAGGAACACCGGAGGCGAAGGCGGCUCACUGGGGAUUUUCUGACGCUGAGGAACGAAAGCCAGGGGAGCGAACGGG
rnacentral:rRNA from 1 species